rnacentral:lncRNA from 1 species
AGAGAGAGAACAAAGAGCAGGUGUGAUCGGAGCUCAGGAAAUCCUCCCUCUGCAAAUGGGGGAUCUCAGAAGUCUUAAUGAAGUAACUAUCCCUGAACACUGGGAUCAAUACUCAGCAUCCAGCUGUCAAAUCAACACCAAGCCGCCUCCUGGAGCAGAUUGUUAAGCUGAUGCGAGUCUGGGCUCUGCCUCACCACUUGUCUCAGAGAAUGUCCAGUGCUAGGAGACUCAUAAGUUGGAGAGAAACGGCCUGAUUUAUAGAAACUGAGCGAGACUCCGGACCACCUGAUGCAGAGAAACCUGUGACCUGAAAAAGUCUAUUUGUGUUUCCUCUAGGAAUCUCGGCCAAGAAGACAGGGACAAGCUCCCAACUCUGACUACCCCUUUUACAGGGAAAAAAAAAAAAUCCCGUGCCUUCUUUGCAGCAAGUGACAAAUCCUUGUCAUAUCGAGAUGGCUUUUCCUCCUCCUCUUCAAACAUCUUUUAGCAGCAACAGCAGCUCAAGUAACUGGAAUUAUUUCAGAGUUAAAAUGCAGGCUUUGUAGACCCUCUUAGACAGACAGAUUCAAUUUCAAAGGAAACUUCUUUGGCUGGGUACUCAGUGAGUGUUACACAGGGAUUUGGGGAGUUAAUAUUCACUGUUUCUGUUGUUGGAGAAAAGGAAAGCAGAGUUGCUCUUUCUCAUUACUCUCCCCAACGCACAUCUGUUUCCUCUCGUAUCUUGGAAUUAGGAAGAUGGAGGAGACUUAAGUGGUGACCCACCUAGCCUCCUGAUGCAUGCUGGGCUCACUUUAAAACUCCCAAAACAGAUGGCAGUUGAUCACGGUUUUAAAGAUCCCAGCAUAGACUUUCUGCAGCCUCCCUUGUUAGCCACUAUCAGCGCUUAACAUUCUGUCAUCUGAAUAACUCCUUAAAAAUGAUAGCAAUGGUAGUAGAAAUUUAAAAGGAACCUCCCAAAAAACAUGCAAAAGCUUACCACCCCAGUAAAUCACCCGCAACAAUGUCGCAACAGUUUAAAUUUACUGCAGAGAGAGCUGAAGUUUAGGAGACACAGCUUUAUAAUAUUUUUGAGAGAUAGUUGAGUGCAAAUGAGUCCUGUUCCUCUUGCAUCAGGGCCUGCUCCACUGAGUCAUCCUGCCUUCAGAAGCUUCCAGCUAAGUGGCAGGCCCCGGCCAUAGGCUCCCUGUGUCCCCAGCCUCCAGAGAACACACAAUGUUCUCAUCGCCCUUAGCUCCAUUCCAGAAGGGGCCUGCAGUUCUGCAGCUUAUCAGGGGUCUACUGGGAAGUGAGAUGUCACUGUCCCUUUCUGGCCCUGCAUUGUCUGUGAGUGGCUCUCCUGGAUUAAGAGUUGGCAAAGUAUGGCCAGUGGCCAGGACUGGCCUGCUGCCUGUUUUUGUUUAACCCGUGAGCUAAGAAUAGUUUUUACCUAUUUUAAGUAGUUGAAAAAAAAAUCAAGAGAAGAAUACUAUUUCGUGAUAUGUGAAAAAUCACAUGAAAUUCAAAUGUAAGUGUCCAUAAAUAAAGUCUUACUGGAAGACAGCCUUGCUCAUUUAUUUCUGUCUCAUUCGCUA